rnacentral:rRNA from 1 species
UACAGAGGGUGCAAGCGUUAAUCGGAAUUACUGGGCGUAAAGCGCACGUAGGCGGUUUUUUAAGUCAGAUGUGAAAGCCCCGGGCUCAACCUGGGAAUUGCAUUUGAAACUGGGAAACUAGAGUGUGUGAGAGGGGGGUAGAAUUCCAAGUGUAGCGGUGAAAUGCGUAGAGAUGUGGAGGAAUACCAGUGGCGAAGGCGGCCCCCUGGCACAACACUGACGCUCAGGUGCGAAAGCGUGGGGAGCAAACAGG